GCCACUAGGGUAGCGUAGUGGACAUGGCAUCUGCCCGGUAAGCGGAACAUUGUGGGUUCGAUUCCCAUCCCUGGACA
rnacentral:tRNA from 1 species